AUUUCUUCUUGCCUGAUCUUUCUACAUUCAAAUUAUUAUUUUAAUUGAAGCGUUAUUUGAAACAUCUGCAGGAGACAUCCAUGGUACUGAGCACCUCUGCAGAGCAUGUGGGUGUGCAGUUGUCUCAUUUCCACAUUUAUGUGCUGUGAUUCUUAGUUUCCUAAAAAUAAUUACUUGAACUGUCUAUUUUAUCAGUUUUCUUUCCAUUCUCCAACACAAGUGGAAUUCUGCCAUAGCCAAUGAGUUCCUCUGUUUUCUACCAUUGCUGAGACUUUGUUUCCCAUACAAGAAAAGGAAGUUUUCAUGCCCUGUGGGCUAUCCUGCUGUUUCCUAGGAUACUUUCAAAGAAGUCCUGAGAUGCCUUUUACAGCAAAAGCAGCAGCAGCUCCUACUUGCCUAUUUCUACUGCCUCCACACAUGCAUCCUCCAACAAAAGAGUCCUGAAUGACAAAGUAUGUUUUCAGGUUUCACUGUUGAACAUUUUGUAGGAGAAGGGGAUUGCUGUGAAAGAAGCUCCUCAGGAUCAAAGCAAUUAUCAAGAGUGAACAAGUUAGCAUUUCCUCAAAAUCAUGGAGCCUCUACAAGUGUGAGAGGUGUGAAGACUAACUGGGGAUGUGACUGAAAGUGAAGAAACAAACAGAUCCUCUGAUCAUGCUGGCCCUGAUGCUCAGAAGGAGGGCUGAAUUCCCUUUGUUUUGGGACAACCUGGCUUCCUAAUAGGUCUCAUGUGUCACUAUUCUCUAUUUUCAAAGGAGCCCAGGGAGCCUUGAUGAAGAAGGCUGCCACAUGGUGUAGAGCCAACCCUGAGCAUUCAAGACAUAACCCUUCUCCAAAGCAGAAAGUCUUAAAUGGCAGCCCAAGAGGACUUGAACAAGACUGCCAAGGCUGCAAGUGUUCUUGGCUGCAUGGAGGGAAACCUUAAGCAGAGUCUCCAGGAAAGAGAGGUCACUGACAUUUUGAAAGGCUGAAAUAUAUCUUUUGGAAGUCUCAUUCUGUGAUGACAGAUUGCAAUAGCCUUUUAGAUGAAGAACAACUCUUAUUUUUUAUCUCUUCUGAAACUUCAGACUUGUUUAUUCCAGGCUCUCCUCCUCUCCUCAUACACAGAGAAGUAGAGGUGUUGCCAAUGUCUUUAACUUUUCCAAAAUCUCCUGGGAAACGGGAUAUAGCCAGCAAUAAAGACUAGCAGAUGUUACCAUUGCUUUCUGUUAUGAUAAGAGUACAACCCUUGACAUUCUCAUUUUUAAAAGGCUGCACCCUUUCUGUGAUGUGCUUAGAAAGCUUCUUUUAAUAAAUGGAUAAGAUUAGUCAGUAUUGAUUGUUGAACUGAAUUGUCUUUAAUAGCAAACCACUUACUCUUUUCUACUGGGCUUUACUGUAUGAAUAGGGACUUUUAAUUUGCUAAUAAGUGACUAAAAAUGCAGUUUUUGUAGAACUCCAGAGUCUGAGUGUAUGGGAUCAUACUGUGCUCCUUCUCCAAAGAGAUGCUAUUUAAUCCUUGCUUUCUUCAGCUUAAAUAGAGUCACUUAUGACCUUGCAUCAGCUCUCAGUAUGUUGUUCUACUCUGCUGUAACUAAUAGCAUUAGUGGUAAUUAUGACCCAUAAACCCACACGUUUCUACUAGAAGCAAAGAAAAUUUAUGCAUUUGAAAGCCACUGUGCUUGAACGUAUUUUAAUUAUGGCCUACAUUAAUAUUUUUCAGCAUCAGCAUCUCACUAAUAUGUCAGUUUAAAUAUACUAAUCGUCAUACUUUUAAGACCUACAGCAAGUCAGAGUUAUAGAUUACCGUUUUCAGGUGUCUGGGAGCAGCUCCAAUAAUUAUAAAGAACCAGAGCAGCAAGUCCUAUUUAUAGACAUCAAUUCAAAAUAAAUGCAGAAUAAAAAAGAAUUAUGACUUUGGGAACUGCUGCUUUUAAAACUAGCUAUGGAAGCAUAACCUACUGCUGAAAUGAUAAGGUAUAUUCAUGAAUAUAUUGCA